rnacentral:rRNA from 1 species
GACGAACGCUGGCGGCGGGCUCAACACAUGCAAGUCGAACGAAGUGGCGAACGGGUGAGUAACGCGUAAUCAACCUGCCCUUCAGAGGGGGACAACAGUUGGAAACGACUGCUAAUAACGCAUACUGAAGGAGGGGAUUGCGUCUGAUUAGCUAGUUGGAGGGGUAACGGCCCACAAAGGCGAUGAUCAGUAGCCGUUCUGAGAGGAUGAACGGCCUCAUUGUGACUGAGACACGGCCCCGACUCCUACGGGAGGCAGCAGUGGGGAAUCUUCCGCAAUUGACGAAAGUCUGACGGAGCAACGCCUCUUGAGUGAUGACGUCCUUCGGGUUGUAAAGCUCUGUUAAUCGGGACGCGGUACCGGAAUAGAAAGCCACGGCUAACUACGUGCCAGCAGCCGCGGUAAUUC